rnacentral:rRNA from 1 species
UUGAUCCUGGCUCAGAUUGAACGCUGGCGGCAGGCCUAACACAUGCAAGUCGAGCGGAAACGAGUUAUCUGAACCUUCGGGGAACGAUAACGGCGUCGAGCGGCGGACGGGUGAGUAAUGCCUAGGAAAUUGCCCUGAUGUGGGGGAUAACCAUUGGAAACGAUGGCUAAUACCGCAUAAUACCUACGGGNCAAAGAGGGGGACCUUCGGGCCUCUCGCGUCAGGAUAUGCCUAGGUGGGAUUAGCUAGUUGGUGAGGUAAUGGCUCACCAAGGCGACGAUCCCUAGCUGGUCUGAGAGGAUGAUCAGCCACACUGGAACUGAGACACGGUCCAGACUCCUACGGGAGGCAGCAGUGGGGAAUAUUGCACAAUGGGCGCAAGCCUGAUGCAGCCAUGCCGCGUGUGUGAAGAAGGCCUUCGGGUUGUAAAGCACUUUCAGUCGUGAGGAAGGUAGUGUAGUUAAUAGCUGCAUUAUUUGACGUUAGCGACAGAAGAAGCACCGGCUAACUCCGUGCCAGCAGCCGCGGUAAUACGGAGGGUGCGAGCGUUAAUCGGAAUUACUGGGCGUAAAGCGCAUGCAGGUGGUUUGUUAAGUCAGAUGUGAAAGCCCGGGGCUCAACCUCGGAAUAGCAUUUGAAACUGGCAGACUAGAGUACUGUAGAGGGGGGUAGAAUUUCAGGUGUAGCGGUGAAAUGCGUAGAGAUCUGAAGGAAUACCGGUGGCGAAGGCGGCCCCCUGGACAGAUACUGACACUCAGAUGCGAAAGCGUGGGGAGCAAACAGGAUUAGAUACCCUGGUAGUCCACGCCGUAAACGAUGUCUACUUGGAGGUUGUGGCCUUGAGCCGUGGCUUUCGGAGCUAACGCGUUAAGUAGACCGCCUGGGGAGUACGGUCGCAAGAUUAAAACUCAAAUGAAUUGACGGGGGNCCGCACAAGCGUGGAGCAUGUGGUUUAAUUCGAUGCAACGCGAAGAACCUUACCUACUCUUGACAUCCAGAGAACUUUCCAGAGAUGGAUUGGUGCCUUCGGGAACUCUGAGACAGGUGCUGCAUGGCUGUCGUCAGCUCGUGUUGUGAAAUGUUGGGUUAAGUCCCGCAACGAGCGGAACCCUUAUCCUUGUUUGCCAGCGAGUAAUGUCGGGAACUCCAGGGAGACUGCCGGUGAUAAACCGGAGGAAGGUGGGGACGACGUCAAGUCAUCAUGGCCCUUACGAGUAGGGCUACACACGUGCUACAAUGGCGCAUACAGAGGGCAGCAAGCUAGCGAUAGUGAGCGAAUCCCAAAAAGUGCGUCGUAGUCCGGAUUGGAGUCUGCAACUCGACUCCAUGAAGUCGGAAUCGCUAGUAAUCGUGGAUCAGAAUGCCACGGUGAAUACGUUCCCGGGCCUUGUACACACCGCCCGUCACACCAUGGGAGUGGGCUGCAAAAGAAGUAGGUAGUUUAACUUCAGGGAGGACGCU